rnacentral:rRNA from 1 species
GGGGAAUAUUGCGCAAUGGGGGAACCCCUGAGGCACCGCCCCGGGGUGGGGGAAAAAGCUUUUGGGUUCGUAACCCUCUUCCGGGAGGGAAGAACCCCCCAGUUCGGAAAUGGCCUUGGGCUUGACGGAACUUCAAAAGGAAGCACCGGCUAACCCGGUGCCAGCAGCCGCGGUAAUACGGAGGGUGCAAGCGUUAAUCGGAAUCACUGGGCGUAAAGCGCGCGUAGGCGGCUUUUUAAGUCGGACGUGAAAGCCCUCGGCUCAACCGGGGAAUUGCGUUCGAAACUGGGAGGCUUGAGUCCUGGAGAGGGUGGCGGAAUUCCGGGUGUAGGAGUGAAAUCCGUAGAUAUCCGGAGGAACACCGGUGGCGAAGGCGGCCACCUGGACAGGUACUGACGCUGAGGCGCGAAAGCGUGGGGAGCAAACA